rnacentral:rRNA from 1 species
GACGAACACUGGCGGCGUGCUUAACACAUGCAAGUCGAACGAAAGGGCCCUGCUUUUGUUUGGUGCGCGAGUGGCGAACGGGUGAGUAACGCGUGAGUAACCUGCCCUUGACUUUGGGAUAACUUCAGGAAACUGGGGCUAAUACCGGAUAGGCGCUCCUGCUGCCUUGUGGGGGUUGGAAAGUGUCGGCGGUUGGGGAUGGACUCGCGGCUUAUCAGCUUGUUGGUGGGGUAGUGGCUUACCACGGCGUUGACGGGUAGCCGGCCCGAGAGGGUGAGCGGCCACAUUGGGACUGAGAUACGGCCCAGACUCCUACGGGAGGCAGCAGUGGGGAAGAGUGCACAAUGGGCGGAAGCCUGAUGCAGCAACGCCGCGUGCGGGAGGACGGCCUUCGGGUUGUAAACCGCUUUCGCCUGUGACGAAGCGUGAGUGACGGUAAUGGGUAAAGAAGCAACGGCUAACUACGUG